UGUGUGUGUGUGUGUGUGCGCAGUCGUGUGUAUCAGAUGAGUAAGAUGUACCUGUUCGCUCCGUCUGCUGGACUCUACACCUGUCCACUGGCCAUGACCGACGGAGCCGCUAAGGUCAUCGAGUCUUUAGGUAUGCCCGCCAGGGAAGCGUUUGACCGUCUGACGUCGCGUGACGAGUCGAGAUUCUGGACUUCUGGACAGUGGAUGACAGAGAGAAGAGGAGGAUCUGACGUCUCGGGCGGGACAGAGACGGUUGCCAGGCGACAGCAGGAUGGAGGGUUCAAGCUCUACGGCUUUAAAUGGUUCACGUCGGCGACGGAUGCUGACAUGACGCUAACGCUAGCCCGCAUCACUGACGAACACGGACACACAACACCGGUGCGUACACACACACACACACACACACA